AGACGUCUACAUUAGAUACCCGUGUAGUCCCAGCCGUAAACUAUGCGCGUUAGGUGUAUCGGUGACCACGAGUUACCGAGGUGCCGAAGGGAAACCGUGAAACGUGCCGCCUGGGAAGUACGGUCGCAAGGCUGAAACUUAAAGGAAUUAGCGGGGGAGCACCACAACAGGUGGAGCCUGCGGUUUAAUUGGACUCAACGCCGGGAAGCUCACCGGAUAGGACAGCAGAAUGAUUGCCGGGCUGAAGACCCUGCAUGACUAGCUG
rnacentral:rRNA from 1 species